GGUGAGUGUGGCGUUCAUUAGUAUAUAUAGAAUUCGACCCAGAAAUUUGUUGACCUUCUUUUAUGGAAAAGCAUGAAUAAAACAUGCGGUUGCUUCAUUUGAUCAUGCUGCAGGAGAAUGGUGGAAUGCUGAUGUUGAAGAAGUCGAGAAACAAGGAAACGCCUUGGGCAUACCUCCUAAUAUGUCUGAUGCCCAUACAAUCAACGGAAAGCCAGGGCCUCUUUUUCCAUGUUCUGAGAAACGUAAGAAUUAAGAAAUUGACAUUGACUGGAGUAUUUCAACCUUGUAUAUGAGAAAAAUAUGGCUGUUAGAGUGUUUGGCUCCAACAUCAUUUAAUAUUUGCAUUUCUUUUUCAGAUACUUUUGCCAUGGAAGUUGAAAAAGGGAAGACAUACCUGUUAAGAAUCAUCAACGCUGCUCUCAAUGAUGAGCUGUUUUUUUCCCUGGCUAAUCAUACCUUCACAGUGGUGGAAAUUGAUGCAGUCUACACGAAACCAUUCACUACGGAGGCCAUUCUGAUUGCGCCAGGGCAGACUACAAACG
rnacentral:lncRNA from 1 species